CCUACGGGCGGCAGCAGUGGGGAAUAUUGGACAAUGGGCGAAAGCCUGAUCCAGCCAUGCCGCGUGUGUGAAGAAGGCCUUCGGGUUGUAAGGCACUUUCAGUGGGGAAGAAAGCCUUGGGGCUAAUACCCUCGAGGAAGGACAUCACCCACAGAAGAAGCACCGGCUAACUCCGUGCCAGCAGCCGCGGUAAUACGGAGGGUGCGAGCGUUAAUCGGAAUUACUGGGCGUAAAGCGCGCGUAGGCGGUCUGAUAAGCCGGUUGUGAAAGCCCCGGGCUCAACCUGGGAACGGCAUCCGGAACUGUCAGGCUAGAGUGCAGGAGAGGAAGGUAGAAUUCCCGGUGUAGCGGUGAAAUGCGUAGAGAUCGGGAGGAAUACCAGUGGCGAAGGCGGCCUUCUGGACUGACACUGACGCUGAGGUGCGAAAGCGUGGGUAGCAAACAGGAUUAGAUACCCGAGUAGUC
rnacentral:rRNA from 1 species